CCAGAACCAACCCAGCGGUGCUCGCCGGACGGACACGCCACAGCGCGGCGUCACCGGGGUCCAUGUCCCACCCGAGCCCUUGGUGGAGAGCUGGUGAGCCGGGGGAUGGAGCGCCACCGUGAUCUCUUAGGAACCGUGGCGGCCCUGACAUCACGCGGAAGGGGGAAUUGGAGACCUCAGGCGCUCUGCUCAGCUGUCGCCCCUCUCGACCGGCAGCCCCUCCCUUCACGCCACCAGCUGAGUCCCGUGAGGGGCAGAGUCACGGCGGCGGGACGGGGGAUGAAGAACGGGCAGCUGAGAUCACAGGAGUCCCGGCUGGGGGGUUGGGGGGUCCUGAAGCAUCCAAGGUGACAGCCACAGCCCAGCCUGACCCCCGCCUCUGCGCCCCCCCAGGACCCGCAGAGCCCGUCCCGGGAAGGCUUCCCUCAGCUGCCCCACAUCUGAAGAGUGAGGCCUGGGGCUGGGGCCCACAAUCUCCUGCGACCCUGUCAGCGCCCGGUGGGUGACUGAGAGGACUUGCUGGUCCCAUUUCCCUGCUCACCCUCCGGACGGUGAUGCCAGCAACCGGAACUCGGGUGAGUCUGCAUCCUGAGCACAUCUACAGGGUCCCUGGCCCCCCAGGCAGGACACGGGACCUUGGCCAAAGCCAGGGCUCCGGGUGGGCCCCCGGCUCCUGUGGUGCUGGUUGUGGAGGCCGAUCCUCACCAGGCUGCUCCGUGUUCCUUUGGGGUUUGCUGUGUGUCCUGAGGUGAUUCACUUGUUUGCCCCAGAGUUUAUUAGUAGUAAAUUAUCUUUGUACAUCUUGGGACAUCUUUAAAAGAUGUGUGUUCCAGGGACUUCCCUGGUGGCACAGCGGAUUCUGACCCACUGCGCCACCAGGGGAGCCCACUCCGUAUCUUUCAAUCUCUAACAGAUCCUCAUUUCUUCAUGACCUUGACCUCAGUUAUUUUGUAGAACCUCCCCCAAUUUGGGAUGGCUUGAUAUUUUCUCAUGACUAACCUACAGUUAUACAUCCCAGCAAGAACACAGAGACGUUGGGGUCAGAUCCACGGUACCCUAGGUUCCCUUGGCGGUAAUUUCCUGGGGAGGCAGUGACACCGGGCCCACGUCAGCAGCUGUCUGCCUGACGGUCACUCGUUCCCUCAUCCCGUUUAUUAAUUAGAUUCUGUCGGGAAGAACUGUCCCUUCCCCCACUUACUUGGUCUCCAUCAGUGUGGACUUGGGGAUCCUGGUCCAGUCUGGUGACAGCCCAUCACCACCAGGAACCUGUUACCAGGCUGACCCACUCUGAGCCACUGCAGGUCCCUCAGGUUGGCUCCGUGUCCUUCACCUCAAGCAUGGCCUCACCUCCUGGCACCACAAAUGUUCCUCAUGCUGCCCUGGAAUUCCCACUUUUCCAAGGAGCUCUGGUUUAUGGGAGAAUGGAUUCGACCCCCAGGAUCUGUGUUAUUUUAAUCCAAAAUUGUCUGGAUAUUAAAUAUUCUGUAAACUUGC